rnacentral:lncRNA from 1 species
UCAUCUUUGACAGAACACCACUACAAUAUGUUUAACAUGUAGGUCCAGACAUCAUAGUUACCUAAUCGAUCCUAAUGACCCGACAUAACCCUCCACCACACAUUCUAUUUGGAGUUGUUGGCAGACUUGACAAGCUCUUGUCCUUCAACCAUUGUACCUCUUAGUCGCCGUUCCAGCAUUAUCCAAAUCCGCCUUGUGUCAACCAAAGCUAACUAAAGAUAAAAGCUUUGUUGUUUGACAGUCGGCAACUAGGAUCUGACUUGAGAGUGUAAGGUUCUUCAUGUAAAUUACUCCAAAAUUAGAGAUGCGUUUCUAGUUUUAGACUGUAAAGUGACAUCAAAUUCCUAACAUGUUAUUACUAAUAUUAUUAUGUACAUGUACUUUCAUAUCAUCACAACCUUCCUAAGUAAUGAUAGGGUAUGUUUGGUUUUUCUUAAAAGUUGUCGUUUAAGAAAGGUACUCUACAGUAAAUAGGAAAGAAAAUAAAGCUCUUAGCCAGGCAUGCAUGUAAUUUUCCAAUGAAUAAUUACAUAGCAUUAUCAUAACAUUCAUCUUUUGGGGAAGCUAAAAGGCUAAUACCAAGGCGUUCUCCUGACCCUUUAUUAAAUUUACAAAAAAAAAAUCCAGAUUCCCAGCAACAUUGAUUGGUGUGGCUACACUAAAAGAGUGUUAAAGUUCUUGAAUAACCUACAG